UGCAUCAGACACGGGGGAGGACGGACGCGCGCCGCUCCGUCUACCCACCACCACCAUCACCACCACCACUCCCCACGCGGUCACGAACUAUAUUAAGGUCAAAGGGAAAGAAAACGCUGUGAAUUGACCUCCAUGGACCAAUCACAGGCUAAUAUUGACCUCGUAGUGACCAAUAAGAGAGGUGAGGAGAGGUCAUCAACAGGUGGUCACUGGGAAAGGUGUCUGACCUCACCUCUGUGACCUGAACUGACCUUAUGUGAUGUGAGAGACGAGAAAUAAAAACAAGGAAACAGGAAGGAGAAAGAGAAAGACACGAGGAAAGAGGAGAAAGAGACAAAAAAAAACGAGAAGAAAGAGAAAGAGACAAGGAAACAGGAAGAAGGAGACAGAGAACUACAGAGAUCUAUCUACAAAACCAGAGAAGCGAGGAAGAGGAAAUGAAGCAAAAAGAAAGCUGUGAUAACGCCUGGAGGUAAAGAACACACACAGAACACAGAAGAGAGAGAGAGAGAGAGAGAGGAGAGGUGGGAUUGUGAAGAACAGAACAAGUGGUAGUGAUUGUGAAGAGUUAACGGAAAGAACAGGAAGAUUGUGAAAUAAAAAAACCAUAAAAGAAAAGUGAUAUUGUGAAGAAUUGAAGGAAAAAAAAACUAGUUGAGAAUAAAAACUGGAAAAAAGAAAGAAAAAAGUUGAAUAUUAGUGAAGGAAAAAAUCAAACAGAAGAGAAGACAAGAAUUUAAAGAAGUUUGUUAGUUGGAGAGAAAUUUUUAAAGAACGAGAAGAGAAAGUGACAUUGGUGAAGAACUAAGAGCAAAAACAGAAAGGUUGUGAAUUAAAACUAUAAAGAGAGAAAAGAAAGUGAUAUUGUAAAGUAGGACAGGAAGAACAGAAGAAGAGAAUAAGAGAAUUUAAAGAAGUGUGUUAGUUUAUAAAGAGGAAUUUCAAAAGAACGAGAAGAGAAAGUCAUAUAGUGAAGGAAAGAGAAAAAGAGAAGAGAAUAAGGAAAUCUAAAGAGGUCUGUUAGUUUAAGGAGAAAUUUUAAAAAGCAAAUUUACAAGCACCAGAGAUUAUAAAGUACAUUUUUUUCUAAGGGUGAAGUUUUAAAAGUGACAAAAUUUACAGAACUUGAUAUUUUUAAAGAGCAGGACUUUUCUUGGACCAAAAAACCUAAAGUACAAAAAACUUAAAUGGUCAGAAAUUUAAGAAAAGGUACCAAAAAAAAUUAAAGGGAAUCUUAAACAAAUAUUUCUUAUGGAUAAACUUUACAUGACAGGAAAUCCUAAAGCACCAAAUUUUUAAAGAACACGAAGAUAAAAAAAAAAAAACUAAAAAGGAGACUCACAUUAUUUAUUUAAAGAAAGAGAAAGCAAAAAUACAAGAACAGAAUUGUAGUUUAUAUGAAAAACAAAGUGUAAGAUUUUUUAUUAUUUAUUAAUUUUCAACACAGCAGUGAAAUGUUUUGAGAAAGGUGAAGAUAAGCCAUUAAAAGCAACACAUUUUGAAACAGAAAAGGGGAAAAAAGUACAGGAAUGAAAAAAAUGUCCUGAAGCUUUAUUUUGUUUCAAGCAUUGCAGAAAAAGAUGCUACAAAAAUAUCUUCUGGGAAAAUAAUAAUGAAAACUCACACUGCCAUUGUAGAAAAAAAGGAAAAGUGAACAACGAGGAUAAAGUUGAAGAAUAAAGUGAAAAUAGAAAGAAUAGAAUGAGAACUGAAUAUUAAAAGUAAAUGAUAAAUGAACACACGAGAUAAACAAAGGAAUAACGAAUAAAAUCUUAAAACGAAACGAGGAAAAGAAUAAAAGGAAUUGAAGACAGAAACGAUAAAAAUCAAACAAUCACAAAUAAUGAAACUAAAGACCAGAAAACUUUGAGAAAUUACGAAAAGAUAGAAAAGGAAAAAAAUCUGACAAAAACUGGAUAUAAACUUGUAAAAAAAGAAAACAAUUGAGAAAA
rnacentral:lncRNA from 1 species